AUUGAACGCUGGCGGCAGGCCUAACCCAUGCAAGUCGAACGAGUGGCGGACGGGUGAGUCAUGUCUGGGAAACUGCCUGAUGGAGGGGGAUAACUACUGGAAACGGUAGCUAAUACCGCAUACCAUCGGAUGUGCCCAGAUGGGAUUAGCUAGUAGGUGGGGUAAAGGCUCACCUAGGCGACGAUCCCUAGCUGGUCUGAGAGGAUGACCAGCCACACUGGAACUGAGACACGGUCCAGACACCUACGGGAGGCAGCAGUGGUGAAUAUUGCACAAGGGGCGCAAGCCUGAUGCAGCCAUGCCGCGUGUAUGAAGAAGGCCUUCGGGUUGUAAAGUACUUUCAGCGGGGAGGCGUUACCCGCAGAAGAAGCACCGGCUAACUCCGUGCCAGCCGCCGCGGUAAGAA
rnacentral:rRNA from 1 species